GUGCUCGCUUCGGCAGUGCAUGUACUAGAAUAGGAACGAUACAGAGAAGAUUAGCAUGGCCCCUGCACAAGGAUGACACACAGAUUUGUGAAGCAGUCCAUAUUUUU
ensembl:snRNA U6 U6 spliceosomal RNA